UACAAUAAUUCAACAACAACUACUCGUCGUCCAUGUGUUUGCUGACACGUGUAGAAACUGCUAAAACCGUUAAAUAUAAUCAAACAACUGAGAUGUAUAGAGAGAGAGAACAAAUAAUUAGUGAAGAGUAGAGAAAAUGAGCAAAGAAAAAGACAAGGAGAGAGUAGCUUCUCCUACAUCUUACGGCACGUUUCAAGGUGUCCCUACUUAUCCACCACCGUUGCAUCCUCGUCCUCCGCAGCAUCAUCCGGUCUCCGGAUUCCCUCAGCCGUCUCAGCCUCCCAGAGCAACUCAUCAUGACCUUUCCGUUCAUCAAUACAUUCAAGAACAUCAAACCGUUCCUGGUAAAGUAACUUUCCAAGUUGUAACUUCAAAGUUGAAUCUAUAGCCUCUUCUUUAUUAUCCAAAUGAGUAAAACCAAGUUACUAGAUACACUUCAUCUGAAGCAUAUGCACAUACUCAAAUUCUUUAUUCUACAAAAUUACUUAGAAUUUCAUCUUGUUCAAUCAGUAAUUGUGAGUUAAUGAUGUCUCAUACACAACAAGAACCUGAAGCUCUCUUUCUCUCUGUAUCUACAAAUACUUCACAAAUCUUUAAAUGGCAGGAUAUG
rnacentral:lncRNA from 1 species